UACAGAGGUCUCAAGCGUUGUUCGGAUUCAUUGGGCGUAAAGCGCGCGCAGGCGGUCUCUUAAGUCUGAUGUGAAAUCUCGCGGCUCAACCGUGAGCGGUCAUUGGAAACUGGGAGACUUGAGUGCAGAAGAGAAGAGCGGAAUUCCACGUGUAGCGGUGAAAUGCGUAGAGAUGUGGAGGAACACCAGUGGCGAAGGCGGCUCUUUGGUCUGUAACUGACGCUGAGGCGCGAAAGCGUGGGGAGCGAACAGG
rnacentral:rRNA from 1 species